UACAGUGAAGAGAUUGAUUGCAGAAUCUGGUUUUGCUGCCACACUUGGUUGUGGUAACUGUGUUACGUUUCUCAGAUGUGGGGGCCUGGUCAGUUGCAUUGGUAAGCAGUCCCUCGAGGUAAGCAUUUGCUCCUGCAGUCCGCAAAGCGACAUGGACUCCCAGUAUACACACACCGUAACUGGUGCGCCCCGUUUGUUCUGGCCUGCUGCAGCCAUGGGCAAAUUGUGCUUGUGGCCUACCUCGGCCAUGAUUUGCUCAACACCGAGACCAGCAUAUGUGCUUACAUGGUUCAAGGUGUAUGAAGUUGAUAGCCGUAUGGGUGGAAAGGCCCGCAAGAAUGGCUGCCGAAGGUGAUGCCCACAAAAGCGACUUGUCCACAUUGCGACAAAGUGGGACACAAAGUGUGAGCCACACAUAGCGGCCCCCGAAAGAAAAUAAACGUGCAGGUUGGAAAGGAGUGAACGGCUAAAAUCUGGGGUAGCCCAUGUCGCUGUGUAGGCUGCGGCAGCAGAUGCCUGCGUCUCCCGAUUGCUUCGCAAUGCAAUUUGGGCAUUUUUAACGGCGACUGUCGCUGCAAACAAUUGGCACACUCUGUCCAAUAUGUUUCCGCUGCUGGUUGUUGCUCGUUAACCUGACCACCACGUGCGACGACGACGGUGAGCCGUUUACGAGCUCGCGUCAAUGAUUCCAGCGUAUCUCGACAUGCAAAUUUUAUUUCUGCUAUUGCACGAGAAUGUACACUGCUUGUCUUCUGCCAAUAAAGUCACGUGUUCUGUUCA